CCUGUUUAUUCCCAUGCUCUACUCCCUGAGUUAAAGACCCUGUCCUGUCUCAGUCCCCAGGAUCUCACCUCGUGUGUAAAAAAAAAACACUCAAAAAACUGACGUGGAUCUGAUACAAGUAGGAGUGUUUAUUUAUGGUUAAAUCCAACACAGUUCCACCUUACACACAAAUAUGUGAACAUCUCCCUCUCUCUUCCUGUCUCUCCCUCCUUCUUUCUCUAUGAGCAGUGUGGUGCUGGCCCCCUAGUGGUCAUGUGUGGUACCACAGCAAUAAAUGAGCUACAAUGCGUGGAAUGGUGUGCACUGUACUGUACUGUACUGCAACAAGUUUAUGAUGUGGUCAAUGAAUGUUAACAAAAGCAAAUCGUAAACAUGGGUUACACACAUAUUAGAGUAGAAGAGUUCCACCAAUAGCAGCUGAUGCUGAAGCUUUUGCUGCCCGGCAAUCUGGAAUCAUUCCUAGUUGAACCUGUUCCAGUUUCGAUGGUGUUUAGUACUCUUAAAUAGGUUGCAGGCUUUGGAUGUUGUCCCUGCCUGUUGCAUGGUAGACGGUACAUAAAUAGCAACCAGUUGAUCUAUUAUGCAAAAUCAUUGGCUGCUGGGCUCUGUCCCUUGCCUCUGCCCAGUGUCCAUGCAGUAUCAAGGGAAUUAGAGCUCUCUGACCUCUUUGUAGUAUUUACUGAAACAGUCCAUGUCCUGCCCAUGCGGUAUCAACAGCGUCCUAACUCUCUCUACUGGCUGUCUCUUGACUGAGGCUGGUCUUUCUGAAAUUCACACAUUGCAACCAUCAGCCUCCAGUGCUCUGUGCUCUGUGCAGGAAGGUCUCUCGGCUAGAGACCUCAAGGCACUCCACAGCUCUGCAGUCUUGGAAUUUGUACGGCCCUCCUUAGUUACAGUUCUGUUUUGAACAUAUGUACAUGUUUCAGCUCCGAGGCCUGGUCCUGUCUCGUGUUUCCGAGGCCUGGUCCUGUCUCGUGUUUCUGAGGCCUGGUCCUGUCUCGUGUUUCCGAGGCCUGGUCCUGUCUCGUGUUUCCGAGGCCUGGUCCUGUCUCGUGUUUCCGAGGCCUGGUCCUGUCUCGUGUUUCCGAGGCCUGGUCCUGUCUCGUGUUUCCGAGGCCUGGUCCUGUCUCAUGUUUCCGAGGCCUGGUCCUGUCUCGUGUUUCCGAGGCCUGGUCCUGUCUCGUGUUUCCGAGGCCUGGUCCUGUCUCGUGUUUCUGAGGCCUGGUCCUGUCUCGUGUUUCUGAGGCCUGGUCCUGUCUCGUGUUUCCGAGGCCUGGUCCUGUCUCGUGUUUCCGAGGCCUGGUCCUGUCUCGUGUUUCCGAGGCCUGGUCCUGUCUCGUGUUUCCGAGACCUGGUCCUGUCUUGUGUUUCCGAGGCCUGGUCCUGUCUCGUGUUUCCGAGGCCUGGUCCUGUCUCGUGUUUCCGAGGCCUGGUCCUGUCUCGUGUUUCCAAGGCCUGGUCCUGUCUCGUGUUUCUGAGGCCUGGUCCUGUCUCAUGUUUCCGAGGCCUGGUCCUGUCUCGUGUUUCCGAGGCCUGGUCCUGUCUCGUGUUUUCACUUUGCCUGCUUUCACAUUCCCACACCUCUGGUUCCCGCACCUCUGGUUCUCUCACCUCUGGUUCUCUCACCUCCGGUUCUCUCCCAACCAAGAGAAAAAACACAAGAAAAUACAGUGAGAAUACAGUGGGGGGAGGGUGGGGGGUGAGAGGGAGGGGGGAGAGAGAGAGAGGUACAAAACGGAUUUAGCUUGUUCAUUAUGUUCUCAAAUAUGAUCCCUGGUGUGAUUGUGCUCGCUGUGGUGUUUGGGCAAACAGAACCUCUUGACUUUGUAGGUAGACACACACAACUUCAUGAGGUUGGCAUGCUCCAGGAAAUAGCUGCCGUCCGGGCAAGACAAAAAAAAAAGCACAACAUUGACUUUUUCCUUCCCCAUGUGUGUUUCCUAUUUAAGACUUGACAAGUGAGGAGUGGAGUGGACAUGCUGUUUUUGACUUUCAGUUAUCAUGUAUAUGCUACUAUGUGAGAAUAUGACAGACCUGUCUUCCUUCUUUAUCCUCUAAUGUGUAAGAUCAGACAUCUCCUCUCUGGUUCUUAGAAACACCUGUCUAUUCCUCUGUACUCCAUGUGGCAGUCUUUCAUAUCAUCUCUCCCUCUUCCUCUCUCUGUUUCUCCCUCUCCCUCUCUUUCUCUUCCUCUCUCUCCCUCUCUCCCUCUUCCUCUCUCUGUUUCUCCCUCCCUCUUCCUCUCUCUUUCUCUUCCUUUCUCCCUCUUCCUCUCUCUCUCUCCCUCUUCCUCUAUUUCUCUCCCUCUUCCACCCUCUCUUUCUCUUCCUCUCUCUCCUUUCUCUCUCUUCUCUCUGUUUC
rnacentral:lncRNA from 1 species